UAUUGUCAGUCUGUAGCCAGCCCAGGAGGUAUUGUCAGUCUGUAGCCAGCCCAGGAGGUAUUGUCAGUCUGUAGCCAGCCCAGGAGGUAUUGUCAGUCUGUAGCCAGCCCAGGAGGUAUUGUCAGUCUGUAGCCAGCCCAGGAGGUAUUGUCAGUCUGUAGCCAGCCCAGGAGGUAUUGUCAGUCUGUAGCCAGCCCAGGAGGUAUUGUCAGUCUGUAGCCAGCCCAGGAGGUAUUGUCAGUCUGUAGCCAGCCCAGGAGGUAUUGUCAGUCUGUAGCCAGCCCAGGAGGUAUUGUCAGUCUGUAGCCAGCCCAGGAGGUAUUGUCAGUCUGUAGCCAGCCCAGGAGGUAUUGUCAGUCUGUAGCCAGCCCAGGAGGUAUUGUCAGUCUGUAGCCAGCCCAGGAGGUAUUGUCAGUCUGUAGCCAGCCCAGGAGGUAUUGUCAGUCUGUAGCCAGCCCAGGAGGUAUUGUCAGUCUGUAGCCAGCCCAGGAGGUAUUGUCAGUCUGUAGCCAGCCCAGGAGGUAUUGUCAGUCUGUAGCCAGCC